ensembl:lncRNA
CUUCCACCUCUCAGAGUCAGCGGUGCUUGGCUUUGCAGCCACCACGUUCCUCUGGCCCAGGCUGGGGCUGCUUUGGUGGAAACACCUUGGGCUCAGGGCAAAUCCUGGGGGCUCUCUUUGCACUGGCAGAAAUCAAGCCAAGCAAGGGAGAAAAUUCAACUGGAGAAACAACUCUGCAGGCUGCAGCACCUGAAGGCACAGAACCUAGGCAUCAUCCUCACCUCCUGAUGAGUUUUUCCUCAUGUCACUUCCUCGUGGUGCUUGGACCUCUCCCCCACUCCCAACCACAGCUCUGGCCUUAGCUCUCGAUUGGUCUGACUUUAAUUUCUCUGCAUACAACGUCAGUACACUGUUAAGGGGAUAGAUUGAUCUUCUGCAUUGUACUUCACAGUGACAGGGUAGGGUGAGUUUGGUUCUAAGCUGUCCUGGGGGAGUGUUUCUUACUUAUUUGAGAAACAACGUUGCCUCUAAUUAGUUAAGGAUUUGUUAGCAUAUCACUGGUAUACCUACUCAGAGGUCUUCUAGGAAAGCACAUGACAAACAACUGCUUUGCCCAGCAAGGAGCAGCAUAGAUCAGGUCUUUGUUUCCGCUGUAUUUCUUCUCAGUGCAUUUGAUUAGUCUGGUUAAUUGAACAUGUAACACAGACCAUUAUCAUGCAUCAGCAAAAGAGAUUUUGUGAUUCAAACAAAUAUGGCCAUUAUUAGCUGUUUCUGACAUAACAAACAGAACGAUUAGCUUUGGAGACGCAGCACUUAACGGAUGGCUUUGGAUGGCUUUUUGGAAAACUGCAAGACACUAUGCUCCCUGACCUGUCAUAUUGUUGCUGAUUGUUGCUUCUCAUUACACGACGAGAGGAGAAACCUGAAGUCAUUCCAAUCAAGAGUACAAAGAAACACAAGAUCCACAAGACUGAAGGAGUUCACACUGAGGUUGUGUGCAUGAAAUGGCACGUAAGGUUCCAGAUGCUCUGAACAAUCUGAAAAUGAUUCUUUAAUAUUUAAUUAAACUGGCACUCCCAAACAUUUCAUGAAUAUGUGCAGGUUUAUCACUAGAACAGGUCCCAAACCAAUGCUGAGCUUCUUCAGUGAAAGACAACGUUUUGACCUCUGGAUUACAUGGACACAGAAUCAGGAACCAUGAAGAAA